rnacentral:rRNA from 1 species
AUGCCGUCGCCGGUGCUCCUGUUGAUCGUGGCCGUCGCCGCGCUCGUCUCGGCGUGCGCGGCAGACCCGGAGCCGGUGCAGGACUUUUGCGUGGCGGCGGCCACCAACGGCUCGGCCGACCAUCCAUCGUACCCGGGGUUCCCGUGCAAGCCGGCGUCGGCGGUGGUCUCCGACGACUUCUUCUUCGCGGGGCUGGCGCGCUCGGGCGCCGCCGACGCGGCCGAGAGCCCGUUCGGGUCCAGCGUCACGUCCGGCAACGUGGCGGCCUUCCCGGGGCUCAACACGCUCGGCGUCUCCAUCAACCGCGUCGACCUCGCCCCCGGCGGCGUCAACCCGCUCCACAGCCACCCGCGCGCCGCCGAGCUCGUGCACGUCGUCACCGGCCAGAUGCUCGUCGGGUUCGUCAGCACCGCCGGCACCUUCUACUCCAAGGUGGUGCGGGAGGGCGAGAGCUUCGUCAUCCCGCGCGGCAUGGUGCACUUCCAGUUCAACACCGGCAAGGAGGCCGCCAGGGCCGUCACUGUGUUCAACAGCCAGCUCCCCGGAGUUGUCCUUGCCGCGCCGUCGCUCUUCGGCGCCGACCCGGAGAUCCCCGACGCCGUCCUCUCCAAGAGCUUCCAGGUCGACGGCGAGAUCAUCAAGCUCCUCAAGUCCAAGUUCCGGACUUAA